GAAAUGCGAUACGUAGUGUGAAUUGCAGAAUUCCGUGAACCAUCGAAUCUUUGAACGCACCUUGCGCUCCUUGGUAUUCCUUGGAGCAUGCCUGUUUGAGUAUCAUGAAAUCUUCAAAGUAAAUCUUUUGUUAACUCAAUUGGUUUCUACUUUGGUAUUGGAGGUCUUUGCAGCUUCACACCUGCUCCUCUUUGUUCAUUAGCUGGAUCUCAGUGUUAUGCUUGGUUCCACUUGGCGUGAUAAGUUAUCUAUCGCUGAGGACACUGUAAAAGGUGGCCAAGGUAAAUGCAGAUGAACCGCUUCUAAUAGUCCAUUGACUUGGACAAUACUUUUAUGAUCUGAUCUCAAAUCAGGUAGGACUACCCGCUGAACUUAAGC
rnacentral:misc_RNA from 1 species